rnacentral:tmRNA from 1 species
GGGGGCGUAAAGGUUUCGACGGGGGUUGUGAGGUACGGUAAGCGAGUAGCGGUGCGGGCCCGCUAUAAAACCUGCAAAUGAAAGAAUAAACGACAACAAUAAAGUUGCGUUGGCGGCCUAAUUAGGCUGCCCGUCUUGCCCCGGAGCACCGCGGCCGGGAGCGAGGCGUCGAUGAGCGGUGAACGUGAACGGAGAGGUGCCACCCUCCCCGUCACGGCGUAGUGGCUACCGUAGCGUGUUGCCUGCCUGUCGGCGGCACGCGAGGGGAAUCCUUAUAGACCGGCUGCACUCGGAGAAAGCCGUAUCAAGUGACUUUCGGACGCGGGUUCGAUUCCCGCCGCCUCCACCA